rnacentral:rRNA from 1 species
CCUACGGGGGGCAGCAGUAGGGAAUCUUCCACAAUGGACGAAAGUCUGAUGGAGCAACGCCGCGUGAGUGAUGAAGGGCUUCGGCUCGUAAAGCUGUGUUGGUAGUGAAGAAAGAUAGAGGUAGUAACUGGCAUUUAUUUGACGGUAAUUACUUAGAAAGUCACGUCUAACUACGUGCCAGCAGCCGCGGUAAUACGUAGGUGGCAAGCGUGGUCCGGAUUUAUUGGGCGUAAAGCGAGUGCAGGCGGUUCAAUAAGUCUGAUGUGAAAGACUUCGGCUCAACCGGAGAAUUGCAUGAGAAACUGGUGAACUUGAGUGCAGAAGAGGAAGGUGGAACUCGAGGUGUAGCGGUGGAAUGCGUAGAUAUAUGGAAGAACACCAGUGGCGAAGGCAGCUCUCUGGUCUGCAACUGACGCUGAGGCUCGAAAGCAUGGGUAGCGAACAGGAUUAGAUACCCUGGUAGUC